UCAUCCUGCAGAGAGGGAAUGAAACAUUAUGAAUAGAAGCCAUUGAAAUCAAUCAUAUACCAUCAAACUCUGCAUGUCUUCCCUUUGCAUCUGUCUAAAAGCACUUCUGCCUUAAAAAUAACCUGCAUGCAGACAGCAAGCCCCCAUAAAUCAGGCUGGCAUCUCACUAAGGAAACACCCUAGUCUUUAAGCUACAGGACAAUUUGCAGCUAGAGGUCCACAGUGGCCAAGCAAAUAACAUGUUGUGGACAGUAACACCACCUCCUGCCAUCUCUGUUGGGAUCUGCAGCCAAAAGUGAAACUACUUUCUCCCUACAGUGAACACAGGAGAUGUUACUCUGUUUUUCCACAGGGAAGAUGACACAAGCAUCACCACGGUCCAGGCAGCCCCCUAGGAUGCCAGAGGCAUAGUGAAGAUAAGAGGGGAGCCCUGCUACCACGGAGCUAGAGCAGGCUGGUCCUCACAUCAAAAAGGUCAGCAGAAGCCACGUGCAACUGGGACACCCUCCUCUUGCAGCCACGCUUUGAGCUGUCAAAGUGCGUAAGACUGGAAAUACAGUCCCAUACAGCCAGCAAAACUGCAGGGCCAGUGUCUCAGUGGGGUAUGUUUAUCUCUGGUGUAUCUGCACUGAUGGAGUGUAUCUCCGCCUCUUGGCUCCUUUCUCCCAGUAACAUAACUAAAAUUCCACACAUGGUGCGUGGCUCAGUUCAGCUGCACAGAACCAUCCGUAAUAGGAAUCACAGCGUAACACAGCACAGUGUUCUUCAUGUCUCAGUAGCCCAGAAGAGACUGAAGCUCCCUUUUGCUAACCAUUAGACAAAUAAGCAGUGAGAAUCACAGAGCAGUUCUUGCUCCAGCCAGCACACCUCAUGAACCACCAUUACCAUCCUGAAUUAAAACCAUUGACCGUGACCAUCCCCAGCCCAGGCUCUGCUCCCAAGGCAGCUCCUCAUACCCGUCUGAGUUUGUAUUUAGCAAUUCCUGUAGCAGAGAAGGGGGUGUGGGAUGAGGAAAUGUAUUGCAGCCAGGAAGCUGCUGCGUGGCUGGAGGCAGGGAAUGGGGAGUUCAGAGGGAAGUGGGCUGCAGGGAAUUUCCUCCCUUUACCGCCUGACAUUUAAGUCACUGUGCAGAGCUCAGGCUGUGUUUAGUUUGUUUUAACCCUGCUCCUAUCUGGGGAUGGGGGCCCGGCGGAGCCGAUGUCGGAAUGCAGAGCGAGUUCAGAGCCACUGAGGGAUGUCUGGGUCUAAUUUAGGUUUAUUAUUUUAAUGACAUUACUGUUUAUUUCAUUUAACACUGAGUAGGUGAACGUGACCAGAGAACCAGGAGAACACAUAUGAGGAGGAGCAGCUUAAUCCUGCCCAAACCUAAAACCCAACAGAUAAAAUCCUGCUGACGAUACCGAGCCCUUUGAAGGCACAAGGCUCCUGCUGCAAUCCUGCUGUCGCAGUGUCACUGCAAAAGGACCGGGAUGGAAAUAAUAACCCCUCAGCGGCCAACAAAUGACAGAGAAGGGUGAGGUCAGGAAUACAUGCCUCGGGGAUGGGUGAUCUCAUCCUGGCCUUUGGUGCACGACCGCCCACAUUACAGCACUGCUGCACGGCCGGUGCGGUUACCAGCCCCGACGUGAAAGUUUGCUGAGCUCCUUCAUCUCAGAGACCUGAACUUCUCAAGUUAUCCUCUUUAGGGAGGGCAGGGAAGAAAGCAGCCAGGGAAAGAAGAAAACUCCAUGUCUGAGGCAAAGCAAAAGCAUCUGAGUUCAGGGAGCACCAGAAUGGGGCUUUUGUCUCUGUUUUACCCUUGGCAAGCAGCCAUCCCCUCUAUGUGACCCUACCUGGGUCACAAAGAGAUCCUUUAUGUUUGUCCUGCACCACUAAGAGAAAGACUGAAAGACCCAACCCUGCUGCAGAUCUCCAGGUGCCCUUCAACCUCCUGGGACCAGGAGGAUACUCAGCAUCACAGAGACAAGGUUGCUUCCAGGGUCCUGUUCCAACACAGGGGUGUUAGACACAUGUUCUGGACAAGCUCCUGCUCCAUUUGGUCUCUAUUGUCCCAGAGAAAUUAAAACAAUCCUUUUAUGCCAUCCUGAGCCACAGAUGUUGUGUUCUUACUCAGUGGUCGCACCUCCCUGCAGCACACAGCUCCCAGGUUGUCCCUCACCUGAUCGAGGCAGGGAAUUCCCUUCAGACCACCUUUCUCUUUUCCUUUACAGACUUUAGGGCUUGCUUUUUAAACUGCUUCUGUGCUUGCUGUAAGGGACAAUCAGUAAGACACUUAAAAUCCUGCUACAGAAACCCCUGCAUUAGUGAUUUAAUGAAGAAACCCAAUUCCUUUAUCUAUUCACGGAGCAGAUGCUGCGACUUAACAUGUAUCUGUCUGUAGGCUUGGCCCUUAAGAAGGAAAAUACCAAACACCUAAAAACAGUAGAGCAUCAACCAAAGAACCACACUAGGCAAACAGCUGCCUUAAUGAGAAGCUGAUAAAAAGGGGGGUAAAGACUCACUGACACUUGUAUUUAUAUGAAGUAUAAUUUCCAGCAAAGGCCUCCUCAGUGACCCACAUUCAUAGGCUGUGACCCUCUGCUCAGUGCACAGUGUCUAGACUGCCUGAAAUAAUAAUUUACUUCUCUGUCCAAGGAGCUCAAAGUGUUUUAACAGAUCACUUUCGGGUAUGUAUUGCUUUUACCAGGGGCAAAAUACAGAUGUUAACGGCAUGACUGUUAAAUGCAGAGUGCGUCCUCUGGUCUCUAGAAGACUCUUUGUCUAGUAGGGUUUUAACCUGUCAAAGAAUGCACUUUAAAAAAAUCCCCAAAACAACAAAAAGCCCAACUCUAAAACCUAAAUAUAAACCACUGUUUAGGGGGGGAAACCUCCAAACCCAAGACUGAUGCUCUCUGAUCUAUGGAGUGAUGAUUCUGAUCUGUGUAGUCUCUCUGCACAGGAUUGCCUGUUCUUCCCCUGCUCGCUGGAGCUUGUAAGGUUUGAUUUUGAUUCUGGCAAGAAUAUGCAGAAACAAGAAGAGAAAAAAUACCCUUUAGAAAAUAACCUGCUUGGUUCUGCGUGGGCCUGCUGCACGCAUCCUGCCUUCCCAGAGACUCCUGAGCAGCUUCUGAGGAUGUGAGCACGCCAGAGCUGGCUCCAAUUCAGCAAGCACUGAGCAAUGCCAGUUUAAACCAUUUCAGCCUGAGGAUGGUCUGGGAUGCUGUGUCUGUUUCCAGGGUCACACAAAGCCAGCUUUCAGGUUCCACAAAGGCAUGCCCUUUAAAAAACCCUACGUCAUGAUGAUAGAAUUUGAAUCUCUGAGUUCCUGAAGCUUCAGCUGGAGUCAACAGGUAUCUGGGGCACUGGGAAGCAGUCUGCAGAGCACCAGUGGUUUGCAGGACCAGGCUGCAGCUCUCUGUGCAAGAGAAACCCUUUCCCUGCUUCCAAGCUGCUCAUCACCUGACAGUGACUUCUCAUUUCAUUGUUCUUGCACUCUUCCUGCCAUUUCACAACUAAGAACAAACGCCUCCAGAAAGCGUUGGGAUUUGGGAAGAGCAGGAGGGUUCAGUGUAAGGGAGGAGGCAACACCCUUUAACCCAAACUGUUUUUAACAAACCUUUAUUAGGCAAUAGUGUGUUUUUUAGAAAAGAGAACCAACCUCACUGUCAGUCCUGGUCCUGAAACCAUCACAGCAAUGCAGCUGCUGAAACAUUUCCCCAUUCUUCUUCCCUUGACAAACUGCACACAAAGCUUCACAUUACUCUGGUUUUAUAUCAUCUUGAUACCCACGAAUGACCCAGAUCCCCUUGUGUCAGACACCACACAGACACGCGGCCCUUGUGCUGACCACGCAGUGAGAAAUCCUCCUCCAUCCUGAUGCACACACAAACUGCCAGCCACCAUAUACCAGCAGGGCUUAGUCUGACCCACCCCAUAUCCCAGAUGGUUGUAGCUUGUGCUCUGCACUGUAAUUUCUAACUCUGGGGCAAACUCUGCUCUUGCAGAAGCCCCUUCUAACCCAGGAGCCAAGGGAAGAGCUCCCAUUGCAGCCCAGCAGGACCAGCCCUGCAUUUUUCAUUCUUCUAGCAUGAAGAUGCAGGACAUAUUUGGCUUGGCUUUUAUUUCUCAUUUGAUUGGAAACAGCUCUAAAUGAGGCCAUGAACUUAAGGCAUGCAAUUUAUCUAGGGAAGUCCAGGACAAGUCUCCCAGGGGUUCUUCGCUCAGUACUGGCUUAAGUAAAAGGAAAAGAUGAGCCAAAUCCAGACCGUGUCUCUGCUUAAGAAGGACAGCAAGCACUCACAAUCUCACCCUGCAUCCAUCAGAGACUCUGAUGAGCCUGGCUAGCAACAAUUUGAGCUGCUUGAAGGGUGCCAAACAGCUGCAGGGUUGCCUGCCAUUCCCUCAAGCAGCAGGUGGGGAGUCAGCCUGCUACAGUCCACUUUUAUCCUUUCAACUCCAAAACCACAGAGCACAUGUCCUGCUUCCGCCCCAAGCUUCACUCCCUUUGCCUUCUCACAGGAUGUCCUGCCCCCAUUAUUUUUCUUUGGCAAUGGAACUGUCAAAAUAUUU